UACGUAGGUGGCAAGCGUUGUCCGGAUUUACUGGGCGUAAAGAGCGCGCAGGCGGUCGUUCAAGUCGCGUGUGAAAGCCCCCGGCUCAACUGGGAGGGGUCUUCGGAUACCGGCGGGCUUGAGGUGAGCAGAGGUGAGCGGAAUUCUGGGUGUAGUGGUGAAAUGCGUAGAUAUCCAGAGGAACACCAGUGGCGAAGGCGGCUCACUGGGCUCCACCUGACGCUGAGGCGCGAAAGCGUGGGGAGCGAACCGG
rnacentral:rRNA from 1 species